ACGGCUACCUUGUUACGACUUCACCCCAGUCAUGAAUCACUCCGUGGUAACCGUCCCCCUUGCGGUUAGACUAGCUACUUCUGGAGCAACCCACUCCCAUGGUGUGACGGGCGGUGUGUACAAGGCCCGGGAACGUAUUCACCGUGACAUUCUGAUUCACGAUUACUAGCGAUUCCGACUUCACGCAGUCGAGUUGCAGACUGCGAUCCGGACUACGAUCGGUUUUAUGGGAUUAGCUCCACCUCGCGGCUUGGCAACCCUUUGUACCGACCAUUGUAGCACGUGUGUAGCCCUGGCCGUAAGGGCCAUGAUGACUUGACGUCAUCCCCACCUUCCUCCGGU
rnacentral:rRNA from 1 species